GCGGCUGUAGCUCAGUGGAUAGAGUAUUGGCCUCCGAAGCCAAGGGUCGCAGGUCCGAUUCCUGCCAGCCGCACCA
rnacentral:tRNA from 1 species